GGAGACGUACCGAAGUGGCCAUAACGGGACUGACUCGAAAUCAGUUUGUCGGGUUACCGGCACGUGGGUUCGAAUCCCACCGUCUCCG
rnacentral:tRNA from 1 species